rnacentral:rRNA from 1 species
CUCAGCACUCCAGCAGUUUCCNAAUAUUAGUCAAUGCUCGCAAGAGUGAACUAGCUAACUGAAAUCACAUGAAACAUAAUUGUGUUAAUUGUGAUAAGGUAAGGGAAAAAUUUGAUAUUACCUUACUAUUAGUGUUGUCCAAAUCUGGUGCCAGAAGACUCGGUAAGACCAGAAACGCAAACGUUAAUCGUCUUAAUCAGGCGUAAAGGGUUUGUAGGCUGCUUUUACUAUUUCUAAUUAAAAUAGCUCUUAUUUUUAAGUUAAAUAGAUAUACAAUAAAAGCUAGAAUCAAAAAGAGGAUAAGCCGAAUAAUACUUAGAGUAGGGAUGAUAUCCAUAGAUACUAAGGGGAAUACUAAAGGUGAAAGCUUUUAUCUACUAAUGAUUGACGCUGAGGAACGAAGGUGAGAAUAGGAAAUAGGAUUAGAUACCCAGAUACCUCUCACUGUCAACGAUGAAUGGUGGUUUGUUAGUUUUAAUAAAAACUGAUAACGAUGUUAACGCGAUAACCAUUCCGCCUUGCGAGUACGGUUGCAAGACUGAAACCAAAAAAAUUAGUCGGUCUCGAAGCAAACGAAGUGGAGCAUGUUAUUUAAUUCGAUAAAUUCCGCAAUCCGCA